AGAGUAGUAGUGCAGUAGGAGCGUGCUGGGCCCAUAACCCAGAGGUCGAGGGAUCAAAACCAUCCUCUGCUA
rnacentral:tRNA from 1 species